rnacentral:lncRNA from 1 species
CAAUUUCCCUUUUUCUUGAACUCCAGAGCUAAAUCUUCCAAAAACAUCGCGGCAAAACCUUCGCAGCCCCCUUUUUCAACCCAAUUGUCUAGAACAGUCGGGACAUUGAUACUUAGGGCUGAAGCUAUCUUCUUUGGGCCCGCUUCUUCUUCGAGCUUUGGAAAUGGAUUGAAAUCUUUCAAUUUAAGACCCACGAUUC